ACCGCGGACACUAAAAAUGGCGACUCAUCGGUAACAAAGGCAUGUUUAGUUUUCUUGUUGUAGUCACUGAGUGGAGUUUGAAGUUUGAAGGGCCUGGAUUACCCGUAGGCUACGGGUCGUAGCGGUUAUUAUUAUUAGAGUCGUAUUCAAAAACGAAAAUUACCUUAAUCUUUAGUCGAUUUAACCGAAGGGACAGAAAAACAAAAAUAUAGAAAUAAAGUUGAGAAUACGAGUGAAUUAUGCGUGUUCUUCUGAAAUGCUCGCCCACUCAUAGCACAAGCUAUAAAUCAUAUUAUGAAGUUAGAACACCAUAUCUACCACCUUUUAUACCACCAUCAGUUAUAGAAAAUAUUUCCAAGAGAUCAAAAAGGUGUAAAUUGCCAGAUACAUCUCCAUUAUCGCAUGAAUUAUUUGAUCAUGAAACACAGGCUAUGAGAUUAGCGGCAGAUGGAAAGUCACCAAUUUGGUAUUGUUUACAAGUAAUGAAUUAUUAUCAGUUUGAGAAGGAACCGAAACCUAGGUUCACCUAUUCGAGGGAUGUAGAUACUGAUUUGAUUACUGCAAGUGUUCGUUUAAGUAGUGGUAACAUAUUUAUCGGUGAUCCUUGUGAAGAUUAUGAAAAAGCAUUAGGGAGUGCUGCAAAGAAAGCUUACGAGACAUGUUUAUUUUCAAUAGGAAGAUGAAGAACUUAGUUCAUUCUACCGGAAACAUUUUGAGUCUACCCUUUCCACAACCUUUCGGUCUUGAUAGACAAAAUAUCGAUACAUAAGGAUCUAUCACCAUCUUUUUCACGAACACCCAUGUUACUAAAGGAACUACAGUGGCAUAGAAGACAGUUGCUGGAAGAAGUUCGUCGCUCAACUGAAUGGGAAACGAAUACGUUUGAAAGGAACGUUUUAAUUUAAUUUUUAACGCAACUCCUGUUGGCACUCCGGCGCAUACUGUGGCGAAAAUUUUACUGUGACGUGAAAUCUUCUUCUCUGCUCCAUAUUCAACGGUCACUCCGAACGUGCCAACCCUGUCGAUUGAAAAAUAUGAAGAUUAAAGAACGAAUCUAAGAAGAGAACAAGGUUAAGAUACAUACAGUUACUUUAUUAUUAAAUAAUUUACUGAUAAGUACUAACUUCACACCUCCUCGCAGUUUCAUUCCCCUCUCUUCCAUCUUGUGAGUGUAAUUAAGACUAAGAAACGACCGCUGAAUACCAAAUUGUAAUCGAAACGAUGUAUAAGAUCUAGAAGUGUCUCUUACGAUCGCUGUACUCAUCGCGCUUUCUGGACCUGCAUUGUACGUAAGCUGCCCUAUAGUAUGGGUAUCUAACUCCAUCGACAAGGCUGCAAUUAUAAUUUGUAUAAGAAACUGUA